rnacentral:rRNA from 1 species
CCUACGGGCGGCAGCAGUGAGGAAUAUUGGUCAAUGGACGAGAGGCUGAACCAGCCAAGUCGCGUGAAGGAUGACUGCCCUAUGGGUUGUAAACUUCUUUUAUAAAGGAAUAAAACUAUCCACGUGUGCCUUUUUGCAUGUACUUUAUGAAUAAGCAUCGGCUAACUCCGUGCCAGCAGCCGCGGUAAUACGGAGGAUUCGAGCGUUAUCCGGAUUUAUUGGGUUUAAAGGGAGCGUAGAUGGGUUUUUAAGUCAGUUGUGAAAGUUUGCGGCUCAACCGUAAAAUUGCAAUUGAGACUGGCAGUCUUGAGUACAGUUGAGGUAGGCGGAAUGCGUGGUGUAGCGGUGAAAUGCUUAGAUAUCACGAAGAACCCCGAUUGCGAAGGCAGCUUACUAAACUGUGACUGACAUUGAUGCACGAAAGUGUGGGUAUCAAACAGGAUUAGAUACCCGUGUAGUC